rnacentral:siRNA from 1 species
AGAUGUCUUUGGUUGGCAGGUCU